CGUGCUAGACAUGCAAGUCGAACGAUGAAGCCCAGCUUGCUGGGUGGAUUAGUGGCGAACGGGUGAGUAACACGUGAGUAACCUGCCCUUAACUCUGGGAUAAGCCUGGGAAACUGGGUCUAAUACCGAAUAGGAGCGUCCACAGGCUGGCGGGACAUCAAAAAGAUUUAUCGGAGUUGGAUGGACUCGCGGGCUAUCAGCUUGUUGGUGACGGGUAGCCGGCCUGAGAGGGUGACCGGCCACACUGGGACUGAGACACGGCCCAGACUCCUACGGGAGGCAGCAGUGGGGAAUAUUGCACAAUGGGCGAAAGCCUGAUGCAGCGACGCCGCGUGAGGGAUGACGGCCUUCGGGUUGUAAACCUCUUUCAGUAGGGAAGAAGCGAAAGUGACGGUACCUGCAGAAGAAGCACCGGCUAACUACGUGCCAGCAGCCGCGGUAAUACGUAGGGUGCGAGCGUUAUC
rnacentral:rRNA from 1 species